UCAAGAACCGGUUCCCGUACGAUCACCGAAGUUAAGCAACGUCGAACCUGGUCAAUACCUAGAUGGGUGGUUGUUUGGGAACACCAGGUACUGUG